ACUCAGGACGAACGCUGGCGGCGUGCCUAACACAUGCAAGUCGAGCGGAGACAUGCGACGGAUCUGAAGUUUCGGAUGGAAGUGAAGAUGUAUGUUUAGCGGCGGACGGGUGAGUAACGCGUGAACAAUCUGUCCUUCACAGGGGGAUAACACAGCGAAAGUUGUACUAAUACCGCAUAAGACCACAGUGCCGCAUGGUACAGGGGUCAAAGGAGCAAUCCGGUGAAGGGUGAGUUCGCGUCCGAUUAGAUAGUUGGUGAGGUAACGGCCCACCAAGUCGACGAUCGGUAGCCGACCUGAGAGGGUGAUCGGCCACAUUGGGACUGAGACACGGCCCAAACUCCUACGGGAGGCAGCAGUGGGGAAUAUUGGGCAAUGGGGGAAACCCUGAACCCCAGCAACGCCGCGUGAGGGAAGAAGGUUUUCGGAUCGUAAACCUCUGUCCUUGGUGAAGAGUGAGAGACGGUAGCCAAGGAGGAAGCCCCGGCUAACUACGUGCCAGCAGCAGC
rnacentral:rRNA from 1 species